rnacentral:misc_RNA from 1 species
GAAAUGCGAUAAGUAAUGUGAAUUGCAGAAUUCAGUGAAUCAUCGAAUCUUUGAACGCACAUUGCGCCCGCCAGUAUUCUGGCGGGCAUGCCUGUUCGAGCGUCAUUUCAACCAUCAAGCCCCCGGGCUUGUGUUGGGGACCUGCGGCUGCCCGCAGGCCCUGAAAACCAGUGGCGGGCUCGCUGUCACACCGAGCGUAGUAGCAAUCACCUCGCUCAGGGCGUGCUGCGGGUUCCGGUCGUUAAAGAGCCUUACAAACCCAAGGUUGACCUCGGAUCAGGUAGGAAGACCCGCUGAACUUAAGC